GUACUCCACUUCCGUCAUCUCCACCAGGCUCAGGUGCCCAAGAACAAAGGACACCAUGGAGCAAGCCAGUCUGCAUGCCCCUUGGGACACUGGGAGCCACUGUACUACCAGAAGAGAGUUAUGCUGGCUUACAAGGAGCUGAGGCAGACCUAGGGCAUGUGGCCCUAGCUACCACAUGGUUCCAAGUCAAACAAACAAUGACCAGUUUCCAUGACAUAUUUUUAUUGAUUUAGAUCAUCAAAAUAGUACAUUCCAUUCAACACCA